UCCUCAAAUAAUUCACACCUAAACAGGACAUAUUCAAGGUAUAGCAUGUCAAUUUUCAGCUCAAUUGGACAAAAGGAACUAUGUCAAUGAAAAUCAAGAAAAGCAGACACAAAUAUAUGAUCCAAAUCAUAGCAUCAACACAUGCAUUCACUUCAGAAAAUCAUAAGUCAAUGAAAACAAUAAAGAAAUGAAUGGGACCAAAAGCAUCAUGUCCUAUCAUGUGUCUACAACCAGCAUACCAAAUUUCAUCAUCAUCCAAUACCAUAUGAGCAUUUCACAAAGAUAAUACCAACAUAUGUCACACAAGCUUGCAUAUUUGACCAACAGAGAUGAAAAAUAUCAAUCAAAUUGAAAAUGCCACAUAAAAAUCCAGAAAAAUUCACAUAGCAUCUC
rnacentral:lncRNA from 1 species